GACGUAGGGUGCGAGCGUUGUCCGGAUUUAUUGGGCGUAAAGAGCUCGUAGGCGGCUCGUCGCGUCGACCGUGAAAACCCGCGGCUCAACUGCGGGCCUGCAGCCGAUACGGGCAGGCUAGAGUUCGGUAGGGGAGACUGGAAUUCCUGGUGUAGCGGUGAAAUGCGCAGAUAUCAGGAGGAACACCGGUGGCGAAGGCGGGUCUCUGGGCCGAUACUGACGCUGAGGAGCGAAAGCGUGGGGAGCGAACAGG
rnacentral:rRNA from 1 species